AAAUUUGAAUGUAAAUUCAAAUGUCUGCUAUGUGCAAAUGAUGCAGAUACAUCAGGUGCAGAGGAAGAGGAGAAGGAGGAGGCAUCGGAAAAAAAGGAUGGAUUCUAUGUGGAUAGCCUGUUGAAGGUGGCGUCUUCAAAGAAAGCUAAAAGAGGAGUGCCAAGGUCUUGCUAAAGACCUAGGAUAUUUGACCAAGGAAAUACCCUUCAAAAUCAUAGGCAAGCAGCUGGCCGAGCGAGGCUGCAGAAGAGAGGAUCAUGACUUGAGUGCUGAACUCGAUAUAAUCGAAAAAGUGUUGAGUGACAACAUGGACAUGAAUUCAAAGGUCACACACACACUUGGACCCCAAGUAUGCCAGGUUGUGUUUCAGAUCAUCAGAGAGUGCCUUGUUGCAAAAGCAAGGGCUCUAGAAAAUUGAAUAAUGACACUAUUUCUGACACAAUUACACUGCAGG